rnacentral:piRNA from 1 species
UGCCUUUAAAGGUUUUGAAACUCUCCU